GCGUUGUUCGGAAUUACUGGGCGUAAAGCGCACGUAGGCGGAUAUUUAAGUCAGGGGUGAAAUCCCGGGGCUCAACCCCGGAACUGCCUUUGAUACUGGGUAUCUUGAGUUCGAGAGAGGUGAGUGGAAUUCCGAGUGUAGAGGUGAAAUUCGUAGAUAUUCGGAGGAACACCAGUGGCGAAGGCGGCUCACUGGCUCGAUACCGACGCUGAGGUGCGAAA
rnacentral:rRNA from 1 species